GACGAACGCUGGCGGCGUGCUUAACACAUGCAAGUCGAACGGAAAGGCCCUGCUUUUGUGGGGUGCUCGAGUGGCGAACGGGUGAGUAACACGUGAGUAACCUGCCCUUGACUUUGGGAUAACUUCAGGAAACUGGGGCUAAUACCGGAUAGGAGCUCCUGCUGCAUGGUGGGGGUUGGAAAGUUUCGGCGGUUGGGGAUGGACUCGCGGCUUAUCAGCUUGUUGGUGGGGUAGUGGCUUACCAAGGCUUUGACGGGUAGCCGGCCUGAGAGGGUGACCGGCCACAUUGGGACUGAGAUACGGCCCAGACUCCUACGGGAGGCAGCAGUGGGGAAUAUUGCACAAUGGGCGGAAGCCUGAUGCAGCAACGCCGCGUGCGGGAUGACAGCCUUCGGGUUGUAAACCGCUUUCGCCUGUGACGAAGCGUGAGUGACGGUAAUGGGUAAAGAAGCACCGGCUAACUACGU
rnacentral:rRNA from 1 species